rfam:Streptomyces sp. WM4235 P404contig27.1, whole genome shotgun sequence.
GGGGAAGCCGGUGCGAAUCCGGCGCUGACCCGCAACCGUGACCCACCCCCGCGACAUCGGGGCGGGGAGCCGGAAUGCCC